rnacentral:tRNA from 1 species
GGAGAGAUGGCAGAGUGGUCGAUUGCGGCGGUCUUGAAAACCGUUGAAGUGUGAGCUUCCGGGGGUUCGAAUCCCUCUCUCUCCG